rnacentral:rRNA from 1 species
ACCGAAUAGAUACCCCGGUAGUCCACGCCGUAAACUAAUGAACGCUAGCCGUUGGCGAGCUUGCUCGUCAGUGGCGCAGCUAACGCAUUAAGCGUUCCGCCUGGGGAGGUACGGCCGCAAGGUUGAAACUACAAAGAAAAUUAGACGGGGGCCCGGCACAAGCGGUGGAGCAUGUGGUUUAAUUCGACGCAACGCGCAGAACCUUACCAGGGUUUGACAUCCCGAGACCGCUGCUGAAAGGCAGUUUCCCGCAAAGGGCUCGGAGACAGGUGCUGCAUGGCUGUCGUCAGCUCGUGUCGUG